CCUUCUGUAUAAUUAUCAGAGAUAUAUUCAAAUAUCACUGAUUACAUUCUUACAAGAGUCGAAAUAAACUGAUAUUGAUUUAUUUUUUAUCUAACCUGUGUCAAUGUAGCCAGCAUCUAUACACCGGUUCUAUACAUACCAAUCAACUUUACAUCGACCCAGUACUUGACUGAUAUUCUUUUUAUCAAUUCCUGAAAGAAUGAAAGGCAAAGUCGAACCAGGCAGAAUUUGAACUCAAAAUUUAAAGGCAGAUGGAAUACUAAUAAGCAUUUUGCCCAGCUUGCUACCUUACUACUACUAAUGAUAUUAAUAUUUUCAAAUUUUAGCACAAAACCAGCAAUUUGGGGGGAGGGGUAAGUUGAAUACAUCAACCCUACUGCUCCACUGAUACUUAUUUUAUUGACCCCAUAAGAUUGAAAGGCAAAGUCAACCUUGGUAGAAUUUGAACUCAGAACGUAAAAUCACACUAAGCAUUUUGCCCGGUGUGCUAACGAUUCUGCCAGCUUGCUGCCUUGCUAAUAACAAUAAUAAUAAUUCUUUCUACUAUAGGCACAAGGCCUGAAAUUUGGGGGAGGGGACUAGUCGAUUACAUCGACCUAAUGUUUAACUGGUACUUACCGACCCCAAAAGGGAGAUGUCCCUGCUACCAUUAAGGAAAUGGCCAUGUUCAAUAUGUAUAAAAGCGAUAGAAAUUCCAUACGGUAUGCAUAGUGUAAACAAUGGAGGUACAACAGAUGUACCUCCAUUGUUCAUCGACUCCAGUGUUUCACUGGUACUUAAUUUAUCAACCCUGAAAGGAUGAAAGACAAAGUCGACCUCGGCGGAAUUUGAACUCAAAACGUAACGUCAAACGAAAUAUCGUUAAGCAUUUCGCCCGGCGUGCUAACGAUUCUGCCAGUUCGCUGCCUUAAAAUAAUAAUAAUUCUUUCUACUAUAGGCACAAGGUUUGAAAUUUGGGGGAGGGAACUAGUCGAUUACAUCGACCUAAUGUUUAACUGGUACUUACCGACCCCAAAAGGGAGAUGUCCUUGCUACCAUUAAGGAAAUGGCCAUGUUCAAUAUGUAUAAAAGCGAUAGAAAUUCCAUACGGUAUACAUAGUGUAGACAAUUGAGGUACAACAGAUGUAGUAGAAACACAGACCGGUUUUUUUUUUAAAGUAACUUUUUUAUGUGGCAGGUUAUAGUGCUUAUAAACACUAAGAGCAUAUAGGGAAAUAAAUUCCCUUAAAUUUGACAACCUCUAGGAAAUAGUCGACAGUUUCUGUUAUCUUAAUGGAGAUGGCUACUUAGAAAGCAUAAUAACCAGUAUAAAGAUGGAUUGGAAAAAGCUCAAGGAGCCAUUACCUUUGCUAGUACAAAAAAAAAGGCUCCUCCUUCAGAGUGCUGAUUGCGUGAUUCUUGCAUGUGAAAAGUAAUACUGCAGGUCAACAAAACAUGAGCCUUGAAUAGGAAGAAUUUGAGAAAACUAGGAAGAAAUGAAACAAGUAUACUUUGCUAGAUGUGUAAUGCUGGUGUGCAUUGAGAAAGAAGUACAAUGAUGGUAACCUUUUCCUUUACUCAAAUAAUAUUUCUUCCAGAACUCUGUUACAGAGUUGCUAGUUCUGGACUAAUUUUUUCCAGUGACUUUCUAGUUGGAGGUGCACUAAUGUCUUCUAUAUAUUGUUGAUAUCCACCUCCCCCCAUACGCCAGCUUUGUUGAUUUUCCAGUUGUACCUGCAUUUCUUUUGGACCAGUAGUCCUCUGCAGUCCCUUUAUCACUUCCAUUCUAAUCUUCUCUUGUUCCAUCUUCUGUGACCACACUUUGGUCUUAAUUUGUCUAAUCUGAUUAAGGUGACAAGCUGGCAGAAGCGUUAGCACACUGAGUGAAAUGCUUAGUGGUAUUUCGUCUGGCUUCACAUUCUGAGUUCAAAUUCUGCCGAGAUUGACUUUGCCUUUCAUCUUAAUUCAAUAAAAUAAGUACCAGUUGAGUAUUGGGGUCGAUACAGCUGACUUUACCUCUCCCCCGAAAUUGGCUUUGUGCCAAAAUUUGAAAUUUGUCUAAUCAGAUCAGCUAAUCUUUGUUCACUCACAUCCUUCAGCUCUUCAUAUUGUACUCUCUUAACCGGGAUAGUUGAGGAAGAUUUGUUGGAAGCGUUGCAGCUAAAUGGUUGAAGAGGGAGGAAGAGUGUAAGGAGAGUGUAUGACAAAUGCAUAGUGGUGGUUGAUAUCGUAGCUGAUCUGUCACCGAGUUAUUUUCAACUAUUCCACUAUCUGUCACACUCGCUUCAAAUACGUCAGAUUACGGCCGAGUAAGCUAAUGUAAGGGAGACAACUCUUAUACUACUGAGAUAAAACCCAUCAUCGGUCAGAUAGCUGAGAACAUCUUGAACUGGAGGAAAGUAAAAAAUAUCAGAAGAUACUUUUGUAACUGAAAUUGGGAAAAGCUUUUAGUCAAUGUUUGUGAAGACAUUAAUACAAAGCUUGGAAGUUUUGAAGGGAGAAACUUUUUUUUUUUUUUUGAUUUAGUCUGGCUGAAGUAAUUGUACCGUUUGUCCUCACAAGAUUAUGUUUUACCCAACAACAUCAAUAAUGAGAGAUGAGAUUAAACAUUUCUGUUGAGAAUCAAAAACUGGUUCGAUUCCUAAGAAACGGGAUCAUAACAUCAACAAUAUUUACCCUUAUUAGAAUUGAAUAUAUUACCAUUAUAUAUAUAACCAUCAUAUACAGAUUACUCUUCUCAGCAACAUCAUUCUCUACAGCUAUAAUCAUUGUAUACAGAUGUUAUCAUUGUAUACAUAAAUAUUAUUACUGUGUACAGACAUUAUGACUAUACAGAUUUUAUCGUUGCCUACCUGUUAUUCCAUUCAGAUACUAUGUAUGUAUGUGGGUGGCUGGGUAGGUAGGUAGGUAAUUAAUUGUGUUAUUAAUUUGACACUAAUGCAAUAUAAUUGACUUAUCUGCUCCCCAGAAAAUAAUAGACUAGUGCCAAAAUUUGAAACCAAUAUCAAUAUUUUAAAACCAUCUUUUACCAUACAAAUUAAUAAAUUAUAAAAAUUCUCAAGUAACUUAUCAUAUAUACUGUACGUUUUUUCAUAUUUUUUUAUAACAUAAAACCUUUAAGUUUUUAAUCGCAUCUCUUCAGAAUUAGUGUUCCUAUUGUUUACACUGGUAACAUAUAUCUACUUAUGGUUCCUAUUUAGAGCCAAAUGGACUAAGCUUAGGAAUCUUAUACAGUAGAGUAUAAUAGUGUAUUGUAGUGUGCAUAAUAUAAUGAAUAGCACUGUAUAAUACAGUAUGUAGUAUACAGUGUAGAGUGUAUUGUCCCGUGUACAAUACAGUGUGUAACAUAAAAAUCAUCUAUUAUAGUCUCAAGCUGACAAAUACCCUCUGAGUAGAUCUGGUAGAUGGAGAUUGAAUGGAAGGCCAUAUAUCAUCAUCAUCAUCAUCAUUUUAACAUUCACUUUUCCAUUAAGAUGAUGAUAUGUGCAUAUGUAUGUAUUUGCGAACAUCUUUGUGUUUGUUCCCUACCAUUGCUUGACAAGUGGUACUGGUUUAUUUAUGUGCACAUAACUUAGCAGUUUGGUGGAAAAUGCAAUGGAAUAAGUACCAGACUUUUAAAAAAAUACUGGGUUGAUUUUUUCCAUGAGUUGGACAGUUUGACAGGUUCUAGUGAGUCAAAGUGUCAGCAAUGCUUCUAUGGCUUCAUGCCCUUCCUAACACCAAUCACUUUACAGAGUGUGCUGGGUGCUUUUUUAUUAGCACUAGUGAUGACAGCCUUAUAUUUUGCAAGAUGUAAGGGCCUAAAGUAACCCCUAUAACCGAGGAAUGUGGGAUGGUAAGAAAGAGGAGAGGAUGGAGAAGUGUGGCAGGGAAAAGGAGCAAAGGAAGGAAUUAUUAACGGCUGUUAUUGAGAAGGGAUGGAGUUAAAAUGUAACAGAGUGGGUUUUGUAAGGAGAUGGUUCUAGGGUUAUCCAAUACCAUAAGUAUCAAGUAUGGAUAGGAAGUGUGAGUGAAAGGGGGAAGGAAGGGAGUAAUGGACUAGGGUGAUGAAGAAUCUUAAGUCAACCAUUGAAGGAAAGAGAGAUAUGGGAGUUCAUUGGAGUACAUCAGGGAUAGAAAAUGAGAAGGGAGUUGAGGAGGCAGAGAAGCCAUGAAGGAGAUAGGAGUAAGAGACAAAAAGACAGGGCAAGGUGCAAGAAGGAGACACUGGAGGGUGUCAUGGGGGUAGAAGGAAGAAGAGAAGAGUGUGAAUGCUGCAAAAGCACCCUAGAUGGGUAGUAGUGAGGAGGGAGAGAGGAAUUGGAGGAACAGUGGGUGACUGCAGCAAGGACAUGAAAGGCUUAGAGGCAUAAUGGCAGGUAUCAACUUGUCAAUGUCAUCAAAUCAUUGUCCUUGAAAACUGUCCUCCAUUAGACCAAACAGGUAAAAAUUAGAGGGCACCAGGUCCAAGUUGUAGAGUGGAGGGAGGAAACGCUGACCAGCACAAUUUGCCAAUUGCCUGAUUUGUUGUCAAAGAUGUGUAGUCAUGUAUUGUCAUGGUGAAUGUGAAUUGUUUCUGGGUUCUUGUUUGGUCUCUUCCAAACUAUUUCAAUGUCUCUGUUUUUAUGUACCACUCACUGUUCAAGAUAGUCACCUUCCAGAAAAUCAAAGAGAAAGAAGCCCUUGUCAUCCCACAUAAGUCACCAUGACUUUCUGAGCUGAUGUCUAGCUCUUGAACUUCUUAGGUCUUGAAGAAGAGGUGAUUCCAUUCUAUGGACAGAGCCUUCAUUUCCCAAUCAUAAAGAUAUAGCUACAUUUCAUUAGUUAUUACCAGAUCAGAAAAAAAAAAUGUUUUUGUUGGCUUCAAAUGCUCCCAGCAGAUCAGAGUAGACUUCCAACUUUUAAAUUGGGGCACAGCUGCUGAGGCACUCACUUUGUCCACACUUUCCAAUACCCAAAGCCUUCUAUUAUUUCCUGUCAUGCAUUGUAACCACAGAUCAGUUGUGCAACCAGCUGUGGAGCAGUUGUGACUCAGCUUUCUGCACAAAUCAAUUUGUCCACUUGCUGGUGAUUCAUGUGAGUGAUUGCAGUUGAUGGUUUCCCACCACAUAGUUUGUCGUCAGUGCUGAUUUUCCUUCUUUAAACUUCAUCAUCAAUCUUUGCAUAUUGUUAUUGUCAAUGGUGUCAUCUCUGGAAACAAACUUUUGUGGAUGUCCAACAGCAUGCAUCUCUCCUUUGGCAAGAACUCAAUAACAGUAUGUUGCUUCAGCUUGGAACCCAUUAUCAGCCUGCAAUGAAAUAAAACAGGGAAAAGAGGUACUAAAGAAGAAGAAAUGUUUUAUUUGCAUGUUCAGUUUUUACAGCUUAUGCCAGUUAAUAAAAAUGAUAUGCCUACUUUUGCAUUACUUUCAGUGCAACUCUCAUACCGUUGAAAAACAUUGUUUCAAUGAAAAUUCAUUAUAAAUAUACAUUGCACUAAUUAUGUUAAAUAAUUGGGAAUGAAGUUGUUCAGUUUGGAUAUUUUAUAUAAGUUUUAUCCAACAAUUUAGGGUUUAUGACUUGGAAAUGGAUUUGAGCAAAAAUAAAAGGAAGUGCUGACAACAGCUGGAAAACUGAUUGUUGGACAUGUUGAAGCAUGUGUUAAGAUCAGUUGUGAUUGCACAACUUAAUGUGUGGUGUAUGUAAUGGGGGGGGGGGGUAUGGUAGAUGUAGCACUCCCUCCUUACUAGUGUUAAAUUAGAAGCAGUUAUAUUUGUAUUUCCUUUCAAGAGAAAAAUCAAAUCUGGCAGCCAUUGUUUGUUGGUGCAUCGACAUUAAACAGUUUGAUAUAAGCAACUAACUAAUAUCAUCUUUGAAAACAAUCAUGUUAGUUUGUUCACUGAUCAAUCAUACAACAGGACAAUUAAAUGAUUUAUGAGUGCAUGAAUAGUGCUGUGCUAUACUGAUUCAUUCAUACAUGCAAAAAUACACAUACAUAUAUGCAUGCACAUACAUAUGCACACAAACCUACAUACAUAUAACACACACACAUGCACAUACACACUAAUAGACACAUAUAUAUGUAAAUAUACAUAUAUACACACACACAUAUAUAUAUAUAUUUAUACAUGUAUAUGUGCAUGUGUACAUAUAUAUAUAUAUAUAUAGAUAUAGAUACACAUAUGUAUAUAUAUACACAUAUAUGUAUAUGGUAGAUUGGUAUUAUAUAUGUAUACAGACAUACACAUGCAUAGACAAAGAGUUAGCAAUCAGGAAAAUACAUGUUUGAUCAUGAUCAACAAAAAAGCUUAUUUUCCUGAAUAAAAAAAUAAAAUAUCCAGGAAAACAAAUAAAAAAAAUCAGAUGAUAAAUAAUCAAUAAGUAAUCAAGGUAAUCAAUGUAAAGGGCCAUAAAAUUGUCUCAUUAUAUAAACUAACAGUGUUUAAAUUGUGUGAUAGUCUAAUACUUAUUCUCUCUCUCUGGUCUCCAUUUAAUAAAAUCAACUAAAUCACCAUCAUUUUAACAUCAAUACGUUGACAACUUCACUGUAACUAUUGCCCACAUAUUCACCCCUUUCCUUCAUUAUCAUUAUUAGAAAAUGCUGAGUAACAUUUUAUUGGGUGUAGUGAGAAGAUGAUGGUGACCUUACAGCAAGGAGAAUAGUGACCUAGCUAUGUGGAGAAGGAAACAUUAAUCUUCAUGUAGGGAGGAGUAACUAACUUUUCAAGAGUAACUUCUGUCUAUACACUCUCACUUUGUUAGACCAAGGGAUUAGCAAUGGAAGUCAAUGUCCUCUUUGCUUCAGAUGUUGGGUCUCAUGGGAGCAAUGACAAGUGAUCGAGACCUCUGGCGAUUAACUGUACUUGAGAAGACACAUAGCCAAGUGAAAUUGUGGUCAAGGCUAGUACUGGUGACAUGUAAAAGGCACCCACUCUUGGAGUGGUUGGAAUUAGGAAUGGCAUCCAGCUGUAGAAACCAAGCCAAA